CCUACGGGUGGCAGCAGUGAGGAAUAUUGGUCAAUGGGCGAGAGCCUGAACCAGCCAAGUCGCGUGAAGGAUGACGGCCCUACGGGUUGUAAACUUCUUUUGUCAGGGAGCAAUUGGGUCCACGCGUGGGCUUAGCUAGAGUCCCUGAAGAAAAAGCAUCGGCUAACUCCGUGCCAGCAGCCGCGGUAAUACGAAGGAGGCGAGCGUUAUCGGGAUUUAUUGGUUUUAAGGGGUGCGUAGGCGGAAUAUCAAGUCAGCGGUAAAAAUUCGGGGCUAAACCCCGUCGUGCCGUUGAAACUGAGGUUCUUGAGUGGGCGAGAAGCAUGCGGAAUGCGUGGUGUAGCGGUGAAAUGCAUAGAUAUCACGCAGAACUCCGAUUGCGAAGGCAGCAUACCGGCGCCCAACUGACGCUGAAGCACGAAAGCGUGGGUAUCGAACAGGAUUAGAUACCCUAGUAGUC
rnacentral:rRNA from 1 species